rnacentral:lncRNA from 1 species
GGUUAGGAUACUGCUGGAGAUAAUGAUCAACAGCCAGAAAUCCAUGUGGAAGAACUGACAAAUCAUGUAGGCCAUGUACGCAGGGAACACAAGUAAGAACAAACAGAGGCUGACUGCUCGGAAGUGCUUCCACAGACUCUUGUCUCUUGAGGCUCCCAGUGCCAGGACAAUGGGAUCAGCAAUUUCCAGCAUGGACUGUAG